rnacentral:rRNA from 1 species
AUUGAACGCUGGCGGCAUGCUUUACACAUGCAAGUCGAACGGCAGCGCGGGCUUCGGCCUGGCGGCGAGUGGCGAACGGGUGAGUAAUACAUCGGAACGUGCCCAGUAGUGGGGGAUAGCUCGGCGAAAGCCGGAUUAAUACCGCAUACGACCUGAGGGUGAAAGCGGGGGAUCUUCGGACCUCGCGCUAUUGGAGCGGCCGAUGGCAGAUUAGCUAGUUGGUGGGGUAAAGGCCUACCAAGGCGACGAUCUGUAGCUGGUCUGAGAGGACGACCAGCCACACUGGGACUGAGACACGGCCAAGACUCCUACGGGAGGCAGCAGUGGGGAAUUUUGGACAAUGGGCGAAAGCCUGAUCCAGCAAUGCCGCGUGUGUGAUGAAGGCCUUCGGGUUGUAAAGCACUUUUGGCGGGAACGAAAAGGACUGUGCCAAUACCACGGUUCGAUGACGGUACCCGCAGAAUAAACACCGGCUAACUACGU